rnacentral:rRNA from 1 species
AUUGAACGCUGGCGGCAUGCCUUACACAUGCAAGUCGAACGGCAGCACGGGGCAACCUGGUGGCGAGUGGCGAACGGGUGAGUAAUAUAUCGGAACAUACCCUAGAGUGGGGGAUAACGUAGCGAAAGUUACGCUAAUACCGCAUACGAACUAAGGUUGAAAGUGGGGGAUCGCAAGACCUCAUGCUCAUGGAGUGGCCGAUAUCUGAUUAGCUAGUUGGUGAGGUAAAGGCUCACCAAGGCGACGAUCAGUAGCUGGUUUGAGAGAACGACCAGCCACACUGGAACUGAGACACGGUCCAGACUCCUACGGGAGGCAGCAGUGGGGAAUUUUGGACAAUGGGCGCAAGCCUGAUCCAGCAAUGCCGCGUGCAGGAUGAAGGCC